rnacentral:tRNA from 1 species
AAGGCCCUAGCUUAAUUAAAGUACUUGAGUUGCAUUCAUGAGAUGCAGGGUAGAAUCCUGCGGGUCUUA